rnacentral:rRNA from 1 species
GACGAACGCUGGCGGCGUGCUUAACACAUGCAAGUCGAACGGAAAGGCCCUGCUUUUGUGGGGUGCUCGAGUGGCGAACGGGUGAGUAACACGUGAGUAACCUGCCCUUGACUUUGGGAUAACUUCAGGAAACUGGGGCUAAUACCGGAUAGGAGCUCCUGCUGCAUGGUGGGGGUUGGAAAGUUUCGGCGGUUGGGGAUGGACUGGCGGCUUAUCAGCUUGUUGGUGGGGUAGUGGCUUACCAAGGCUUUGACGGGUAGCCGGCCUGAGAGGGUGACCGGCCACAAUGGGACUGAGAUACGGCCCAGACUCCUACGGGAGGCAAGAGGGGGGAAUAUUGCACAGUGGGCGGAAGCCUGAUGCAGCAACGCCGCGUGCGGGAUGACGGCCUUCGGGUUGUAAACCGCUGUCGCCUGUGACGAAGCGUGAGUGACGGUAAUGGGUAAAUAAGCACCGGCUAACUACGUG